AUGAGCCCCAAAAUCUCCCCAAAAAUCGCCUUUAAAUUCAACCAAAAUUGCCCUGAAAUGACCCCAAAAAUUACCCCAAUAUUACCCCAAAAAUCAACCCAAAAUCCCCCAAAAAUCAACCCAAAACUACCCAAAAAAUCUGCCCCAAGUUCAUCCCCAAAAUCACCUCAGAGUACCCCAAAAUCGACCUCGAGAUCACCCCAAAAUCCCCUCCUGGAACCCAAAAUUAACCCAAAAUUACCCCAAAAAUCCCCCAAAAAAACCCCUCAGAAUCCCCCAAAUCCCCCAAAAUCCCUCCCGAACCCCAAAAUUCCCAACUUUCAGCCCAAAAUCCCCCCCAGGGCUCACCUGGGAUUUUUGGGGGGGCCCCUCGGUCCCCAUAACCUGGGGGGGAUGGGCAGCACUCAGGGGGGCGUUUUGGGGGUUCUCACCCAAAUUUGGGGGUUUUCCCCCCCAUUUUUGGGUCCCUUUUUUUGUUUUCCUGAAAUUUUUGGGGUCCCUUUUUUGGGAUUUUUUUGCCCCCAAUUUUUGGGGUCCCUUUUGGGGUUUUUUUCCCCCCUUUCCCCCCAAUUUUUGGGGUCCCUCAUUUUAGGGCCGUUCCCCCCAUUUUUAGGGUCUCCAUCCCCCAUUUUUGGGUUUUUUUGGGUUUUUUUUCCCCCCCCUCCCCCAGGUUUUUGGGAUCUCCCCCCUGCCCAAAUUUUGGGGUUUUUUUUUCCCCAUUUUGGGGUCGGGUUUGGGGUCUCACCCAGCUCCGGGGGGAUCACGAGCUUCCUCUUCUCCCCCUCGCACAUCCUGGGGGGCCAAAAUCCCGGGAAUUCCCCCAAAAUCCCAGGAAUACCACCCAAAAUCCCGGGAAUUCCCCCAAAAUCACGGGAAUUCCCCCAAAAUCCCAAAAUCCCGGGAAUUCCCCCAAAAUCCCAAAAUCCUGGGAAUACCACCCAAAAUCCCGGGAAUUCCCCCAAAAUCCUGGGAAUUCCCCCAAAAUCCCGGGAAUUCACCCAAAAUCCCGGGAAUACCCCCCAAAAUCCCAGGAAUUCUCCCCAAAAUCCCAGAGUUCCCCCCAAAAUCCCAGAGUCCCAAAAUCCCGGGAAUACCCCCCAAAAUCCCGGGAAUUCCCCCAAAAUCCCGGGAAUUCCCCCAAAAUCCCAGGAAUUCCCCCCAAAAUCCCGGGAAUUCUCCCCAAAACCCCAGAGUCUCAAAAUCCUGGUAAUUCCCCCCAAAUUUUGGGAAUUUCCCCCUCCCCCGUCUAUGAGGGUCCCAGUGCCCGUUCCAGCGCUCCCAGUUCAGUGGUCAGGGGUCAGGGGUCACUCAGGGGUCACUCAGGGGUCAGGGGUCACUCACCCCAGCAGCCCCUGGUCCCAGCCCUUGAUGACCUGGGCAGUGCUGGUCAGGGGUCACUCAGGGUCACUCAGUGGUCACUCAGGGGUCAGAGGUCACUCAGGGUCACUCACCCCAGCAGCCCUUGGUCCCAGCCCUUGA
rnacentral:lncRNA from 1 species